rnacentral:rRNA from 1 species
CCUGGCAGUCAGAGGCGAUGAAGGACGUGCUAAUCUGCGAAAAGCGUCGGUAAGGUGAUAUGAACCGUUAUAACCGGCGAUGUCCGAAUGGGGAAACCCAGUGCAAUUCGUUGCACUAUCGUUAACUGAAUACAUAGGUUAACGAGGCGAACCGGGGGAACUGAAACAUCUAAGUACCCCGAGGAAAAGAAAUCAACCGAGAUUCCCCCAGUAGCGGCGAGCGAACGGGGAGCAGCCCAGAGUCUGAAUCAGCUUGUGUGUUAGUGGAACGGUCUGGAAAGUCCGACGGUACAGGGUGAUAGUCCCGUACACCAAAAUGCACAGGUUGUGAACUCGAAGAGUAGGGCGGGACACGUGGUAUCCUGUCUGAAUAUGGGGGGACCAUCCUCCAAGGCUAAAUACUCCUGACUGACCGAUAGUGAACCAGUACCGUGAGGGAAAGGCGAAAAGAACCCCGGCGAGGGGAGUGAAAAAGAACCUGAAACCGUGUACGUACAAGCAGUGGGAGCACCUUCGGGUGUGACUGCGUACCUUUUGUAUAAUGGGUCAGCGACUUAUAUUCUGUAGCAAGGUUAACCGUAUAGGGGAGCCGCAGGGAAACCGAGUCUUAACUGGGCGUUAAGUUGCAGGGUAUAGACCCGAAACCCGGUGAUCUAGCCAUGGGCAGGUUGAAGGUUGGGUAACACUAACUGGAGGACCGAACCGACUAAUGUUGAAAAAUUAGCGGAUGACUUGUGGCUGGGGGUGAAAGGCCAAUCAAACCGGGAGAUAGCUGGUUCUCCCCGAAAGCUAUUUAGGUAGCGCCUCGUGAACUCAUCUUCGGGGGUAGAGCACUGUUUCGGCUAGGGGGUCAUCCCGACUUACCAACCCGAUGCAAACUACGAAUACCGAAGAAUGUUAUCACGGGAGACACACGGCGGGUGCUAACGUCCGUCGUGAAGAGGGAAACAACCCAGACCGCCAGCUAAGGUCCCAAAGUCAUGGUUAAGUGGGAAACGAUGUGGGAAGGCACAGACAGCCAGGAUGUUGGCUUAGAAGCAGCCAUCAUUUAAAGAAAGCGUAAUAGCUCACUGGUCGAGUCGGCCUGCGCGGAAGAUGUAACGGGGCUAAACCAUGCACCGAAGCUGCGGCAGCGACACUAUGUGUUGUUGGGUAGGGGAGCGUUCUGUAAGCCUGCGAAGGUGUGCUGUGAGGCAUGCUGGAGGUAUCAGAAGUGCGAAUGCUGACAUAAGUAACGAUAAAGCGGGUGAAAAGCCCGCUCGCCGGAAGACCAAGGGUUCCUGUCCAACGUUAAUCGGGGCAGGGUGAGUCGACCCCUAAGGCGAGGCCGAAAGGCGUAGUCGAUGGGAAACAGGUUAAUAUUCCUGUACUUGGUGUUACUGCGAAGGGGGGACGGAGAAGGCUAUGUUAGCCGGGCGACGGUUGUCCCGGUUUAAGCAUGUAGGCUGAUUGUCCAGGCAAAUCCGGAUAAUCAAGGCUGAGGUGUGAUGACGAGGCACUACGGUGCUGAAGUAACAAAUGCCCUGCUUCCAGGAAAAGCCUCUAAGCAUCAGGUAACAUUAAAUCGUACCCCAAACCGACACAGGUGGUCAGGUAGAGAAUACCAAGGCGCUUGAGAGAACUCGGGUGAAGGAACUAGGCAAAAUGGUGCCGUAACUUCGGGAGAAGGCACGCUGGUGUGUAGGUGAAGUCCCUGCGGAUGGAGCUGAGACCAGUCGAAGAUACCAGCUGGCUGCAACUGUUUAUUAAAAACACAGCACUGUGCAAACACGAAAGUGGACGUAUACGGUGUGACGCCUGCCCGGUGCCGGAAGGUUAAUUGAUGGGGUUAUCCGUAAGGAGAAGCUCUUGAUCGAAGCCCCGGUAAACGGCGGCCGUAACUAUAACGGUCCUAAGGUAGCGAAAUUCCUUGUCGGGUAAGUUCCGACCUGCACGAAUGGCGUAAUGAUGGCCAGGCUGUCUCCACCCGAGACUCAGUGAAAUUGAACUCGCUGUGAAGAUGCAGUGUACCCGCGGCAAGACGGAAAGACCCCGUGAACCUUUACUAUAGCUUGACACUGAACAUUGAGCCUUGAUGUGUAGGAUAGGUGGGAGGCUUUGAAGCGUGGACGCCAGUCUGCGUGGAGCCAACCUUGAAAUACCACCCUUUAAUGUUUGAUGUUCUAACGUUGGCCCCUUACCGGGGUUGCGGACAGUGUCUGGUGGGUAGUUUGACUGGGGCGGUCUCCUCCCAAAGCGUAACGGAGGAGCACGAAGGUUAGCUAAUCCUGGUCGGACAUCAGGAGGUUAGUGCAAUGGCAUAAGCUAGCUUGACUGCGAGCGUGACGGCGCGAGCAGGUGCGAAAGCAGGUCAUAGUGAUCCGGUGGUUCUGAAUGGAAGGGCCAUCGCUCAACGGAUAAAAGGUACUCCGGGGAUAACAGGCUGAUACCGCCCAAGAGUUCAUAUCGACGGCGGUGUUUGGCACCUCGAUGUCGGCUCAUCACAUCCUGGGGCUGAAGUAGGUCCCAAGGGUAUGGCUGUUCGCCAUUUAAAGUGGUACGCGAGCUGGGUUUAGAACGUCGUGAGACAGUUCGGUCCCUAUCUGCCGUGGGCGCUGGAGAAUUGAGGGGGGCUGCUCCUAGUACGAGAGGACCGGAGUGGACGCAUCACUGGUGUUCGGGUUGUCAUGCCAAUGGCACUGCCCGGUAGCUAAAUGCGGAAGAGAUAAGUGCUGAAAGCAUCUAAGCACGAAACUUGCCCCGAGAUGAGUUCUCCCUGAGACUUUAAGUCUCCUGAAGGAACGUUGAAGACGACGACGUUGAUAGGCCGGGUGUGUAAGCGCAGCGAUGCGUUGAGCUAACCGGUACUAAUGAACCGUGAGGCUUAACCUU